AUUGAACGCUGGCGGCAUGCUUUACACAUGCAAGUCGAACGGCAGCGCGGGGGCAACCCUGGCGGCGAGUGGCGAACGGGUGAGUAAUGUAUCGGAACGUACCCAGUCGUGGGGGAUAACGUAGCGAAAGCUACGCUAAUACCGCAUACGAUCUAUGGAUGAAAGCGGGGGACCGUAAGGCCUCGUGCGAUCGGAGUGGCCGAUAUCAGAUUAGGUAGUUGGUGGGGUAAAGGGCCACCAAGCCGACGAUCUGUAGCUGGUCUGAGAGGACGACCAGCCACACUGGGACUGAGACACGGCCCAGACUCCUACGGGAGGCAGCAGUGGGGAAUUUUGGACAAUGGGCGCAAGCCUGAUCCAGCAAUGCCGCGUGCAGGAUGAAGGCCUUCGGGUUGUAAACUGCUUUUGUACGGGGCGAAAAGGCUCUCUCUAAUACAGGGGGCUCAUGACGGUACCGUAAGAAUAAGCACCGGCUAACUACGUGCCAGCAGCCGCAGUAA
rnacentral:rRNA from 1 species